UCUACCUAGUAGUACGGAAUAAUUGCUGGAAACGGCAGCUAAUGCCGUAUACGCCCUAUGGGGGAAAGAUUUAUUGCUAUUAGAUGAGCCUAUAUUAGAUUAGCUAGUUGGUAAGGUAAUGGCUUACCAAGGCUAUGAUCUAUAGCUGGUCUGAGAGGAUGAUCAGCCACACUGGAACUGAGAUACGGUCCAGACUCCUACGGGAGGCAGCAGUGGGGAAUAUUGGACAAUGAGCGGAAGCUUGAUCCAGCUAUGCCGCGUGAGUGAAGAAGGCCCUUGGGUUGUAAAGCUCUUUCAGUGAGGAAGAUAAUGACGGUACUCACAGAAGAAGUCCUGGCUAACUCCGUGCCAGCAGCCGCGGUAAUACGGAGAGGGCUAGCGUUAUUCGGAAUUAUUGGGCGUAAAGAGCACGUAGGCCGAUCAGUAAGUUAAAAGUGAAAUUCCAAAGCUUAACUUUGGAAUUGCUUUUAAAACUGCUGACCUAGAGAUUGAAAGAGGAUAGAGGAAUUCCUAGUGUAGAGGUGAAAUUCGUAAAUAUUAGGAGGAACACCAGUGGCGAAGGCG
rnacentral:rRNA from 1 species